rnacentral:rRNA from 1 species
UACGUAGGGUGCAAGCGUUGUCCGGAAUUAUUGGGCGUAAAGAGCUCGUAGGCGGUCUGUCGCGUCUGCUGUGAAAAUCCAGGGCUCAACCCUGGACCUGCAGUGGGUACGGGCAGACUAGAGUGCGGUAGGGGAGAUCGGAAUUCCUGGUGUAGCGGUGAAAUGUGUAGAGAUCGGGAGGAACACCGGUGGCGAAGGCGGGUCUCUGGGCAAUUCCUGACGCUGAGGCGCGAAAGCGUGGGGAGCAAACGGG